rnacentral:pre_miRNA from 1 species
AAAACAUUCGGACCGUCGGUCUAACGAGCAAUAUCAGCCGCUCAUUGUAAGAUCUUCCCUUCGUCGU